UAAUAAGCAUGUUUUUGUUUUAGAAAUUGAAAUUCAAAUUCCCCGCCAUAUUUUCAUAAUUUGGUGCAUGCGCAGACGUUUUUCCGCGGUGUUGGGUGGCCCUUCUGUGUGCCUUAUUCUGUGGCAAUGAGCAUGCGCAGUUUGUUUGGAAAAGUAACGCAAUGAGCAUGCGCAGUUUGUUUGGAAAAGACAAGAUGGAGGACGAACUGAAGAAAGCAGAACAUCUUUCACAUAAAGACCCUGAGAGGGCAAUGGAACUUUUGUCUGCUAUAGGUA